rnacentral:ncRNA from 1 species
UACUUAACCUACACAUGCAAGUCUCCGCACCCCUGUGAAAAAGCCCCUAAAUUCUCAUGUGUUUGGGGAGCAGGUAUCAGGCACAACUAAAAGCCCAAGACACCUAGCCUUGCCACACCCACAAGGGUCAUCAGCAGUGACUAAUAUUGAACAUUAACGACAGCUUGAUUCAGUUAAAGUAAACAGAGCCGGCAAAUCAGGUGCCAGCCGCCGCGGUUACACCCCAGGGCUCAAAUUGAUUAACACCGACGUAAAGCGUGAUUAAAGACACAAAAAACUAAGGCUGAGCUCAGAUUAAAGAGUAAAAUACCUAUCUGACUAAGACCCACUAACGAAAGUUGCCUUAUGUAACCCAACUUGAACACACGAAAGCAAGAACACAAACUGGGAUCAGAUACCCCACUAUGCUUGCCAUAAACUUUAACUUACACCACCAAUCGUCUGGGAACUACGAGCAAAGCUUAAAACCCAAAGGACUUGACGGUACCCCAACCCCCCUAGAGGAGCCUGUCCAGUAAUCGACAAUCCCCGUUUAACCUCACCACAACUAGCUUAUCAGCCUGUAUACCUCCGUCGCAAGCCCACCACGUGAGCGAACCAUAGUUGGCCCAAUGGCCGUAACCGCCAAUACGUCAGGUCAAGGUGCAGCAAACGUUGUGGAUGUGAUUGGCUACACUUUUUAACAUAAAAGAUAACGAAAAACAAGAUGAAACCUUGUUGGAAGGUGGAUUUAGCAGUAAAAAGAAAACAUCAAAUUCCUUUUAACUCGGCACUGGGGUGUGUACACACCGCCCGUCACCCUCUUCGAACAAAUAACUUUUAGUAAUAACUCAAUCUAACUUAAAGAAG